AGCAGUAGGGAAUUUUCCACAAUGGACGAAAGUCUGAUGGAGCAAUGCCGCGUGAGGGAUGACGGUCUUUGGAUUGUAAACCUCUGUUAUAAGGGAAGAACACAUAUUUUAGGAAAUGAUAGUAUGCUGACGGUACCUUAUCAGAAAGUCACGGCUAACUAUGUGCCAGCAGCCGCGGUAAUACAUAGGUGGCAAGCGUUAUCCGGAUUUAUUGGGCGUAAAGAGUGCACAGGUGGUUUAUCAAGUCAGUUGUUAAAGCCCGGGGCGCAACCCCGGUUCGCAAUUGAAACUGAUAGACUAGAAUAUCGGUGGGGGUAGUAGAAUUCCAUGUGUAGCGGUGGAAUGCAUAAAUAUAUGGAGGAAUACCAGUGGCGAAGGCGGCUACCUGAACGAUUAUUGACACUUAAGCACGAAAGCGUGGGGAGCAAAUAGGAUUAGAUACCCUAGUAGUCCACGCCGUAAACGAUCUAGACUAGACGUUGGAAUAAUCCAGUGUCGCAGCUAACGCAUUAAGUCUAGCGCCUGGGUAGUAUGCACGCAAGUGUGAAACUCAAAGGGAUUGACGGGGACCAGCACAAGUGGUGGAGCAUGUGGUUUAAUUCGACGAUACGCGAAGAACCUCACCUACGCUUGAAAUGCUUGGCAAUGCUAUAGAGAUAUAGCGGAGGCAAACCGAUGCACAGGUGGUGCAUGGUUGUUGUCAGCUCGUGUCGUGAGAUGUUCGGUUAAGUCCGGUAACGAGCGCAACCCUUAUCUUAUGUUACUAACAAGUUAUGUUGAGAACUCAUGAGAGACUGCCUGGGCAACCAGGAAGGAAGGUGGGGAUGACGUCAAAUCAUCAUGCCCCUUAUGCGUAGGGCUACACACGUGCUACAAUGGUCGGUACAAAGGGUUGCGAUACCGCGAGGUGGAGCCAAUCCCAUAAAGCCGAUCUCAGUUCGGGAUUGAAGUCUGCAACUCGACUUCAUGAAGUUGGAAUCACUAGUAAUCGUAGGUCAGCAAUACUACGGUGAAUACGUUCCUCUGGGUCUUGCCCCUCACCCGCCCGUCAA
rnacentral:rRNA from 1 species